UCAGUACUAAUAGCAAGUAUCUUUGUUUUCUUCUUUCAAGUUCGUUGAUAGCAGCAGCAAGUAUCUUUGCUUAAAUUAAUCAAUAGUAUCAGCAAGUAUUUUAUUCCUUCUUUAAAUUUACACUGUAGCAGCAACUGAUUCUCUUCCUCUUCAAAUUAAUGAAGUGCUACAGGAACAUUGUUCCUUCUUGGAAUUUCAACGUAGUGCAGUAGAAACAUAUUAAAGGUUUCUUUUAUGAAAUUUUCUCAAAUUCUCUCAAGCCCAUCCAAGAUCAAGUAUAACUUUAUUCCUUCAUCGAUUUCAUGAUUAUAACUUUGGUCCCCUCCGAAUCUUAGCAAUUUCGGGAUUUAUUUUGUGUUGAAGUUGAAGUUGAAGCUGAAGCUUUUUCUAGGUGAAGUAUCCUAAGAUUAAGGCUGUUCUUGUGUGAGUGAGGGUUGGCACGCUAGUUACGACGAGUUCAUUAUUGGAUCAUAUUUGAUACACGAGGUCUGCAGAUACAGGUAGGUGAUCCAUCUAUUAGGAUGUCAGCUCAGCAGAUGUAGUUGAUGCACUCCAUUCGUUCCGGAGAUGCCAGGAGUCAGCAGGCCAUAUGUAUAUAUAGAUAUGUACGCACCUAUGUAUGGGUAUGGCAGGGUCCUGUCCCGGCCACGUUGUGUUAUGUUUUCCAGUAGAGGCUUGUAGACAGUUAUGCACAGUCAGAUGAGGUCCAGACUUGAGAUUUCAUAUGUCAUUACAGAUGGUUAUGAUAGCCUUACCAACUCAUUCAGUAUGUUCAGUA